GUCUCUGCCAGGUGCACGGGGUCAGAGGAGACCCUGGCUUACAGAUGGGCUUCUGGAUUGGCAUCAGGGGCUUUGAAUUUUCAGGAUGCACCUGUGUCUCAGCUGGGACCAGGAAGGAGAAGCCAUGAUGGAAACAUGAAAAGUGAAAUUCUGCAUGGAGGGGCCAUAGCAAUCCCUUCAGUAUUCCCACAGCUGCUUUUGUGCACUGCCUGUGGCUGCUGCUGCUGUGAAUCCUCAUCUCCAUGGGGACAAGAAGCUUGAGUAAAAUGU